GACGAACGCUGGCGGCGUGCCUAAUAUAUGCAAGUCGAGCGGACUUUCAAGAAGCUUGCUUUUUGAAAGUUAGCGGCGGACGGGUGAGUAACACGUGGGCAACCUGCCUGUAAGACGGGGAUAACUCCGGGAAACCGGGGCUAAUACCGGAUAAUAUCUUUCUUCGCAUGAAGGAAGGUUGAAAGGCGGCGCAAGCUGCCGCUUGCAGAUGGGCCCGCGGCGCAUUAGCUAGUUGGUGAGGUAACGGCUCACCAAGGCGACGAUGCGUAGCCGACCUGAGAGGGUGAUCGGCCACACUGGGGCUGAGACACGGCCCAGACUCCUACGGGAGGCAGCAGUAGGGAAUCUUCCGCAAUGGACGAAAGUCUGACGGAGCAACGCCGCGUGAGCGAAGAAGGUCUUCGGAUCGUAAAGCUCUGUUGUCAGGGAAGAACAAGUACCGUUCGAAUAGGGCGGUACCUUGACGGUACCUGACCAGAAAGCCACGGCUAACUACGUGCCAGCAGCCGCGGUAA
rnacentral:rRNA from 1 species